rnacentral:rRNA from 1 species
UACGUAGGGUGCAAGCGUUAAUCGGAAUUACUGGGCGUAAAGCGUGCGCAGGCGGUUAUGCAAGACAGAUGUGAAAUCCCCGGGCUCAACCUGGGAACUGCAUUUGUGACUGCAUGGCUAGAGUACGGUAGAGGGGGAUGGAAUUCCGCGUGUAGCAGUGGAAUGCGUAGAUAUGCGGAGGAACACCGAUGGCGAAGGCAAUCCCCUGGACCUGUACUGACGCUCAUGCACGAAAGCGUGGGGAGCAAACAGG